rnacentral:rRNA from 1 species
GAUGAACGCUAGCUACAGGCUUAACACGUGCAAGUCGAGGGGAAACGACAUCGAAAGCUUGCUUUUGAUGGGCGUCGACCGGCGCACGGGUGAGUAACGCGUAUCCAACCUGCCCACCACUUGGGGAUAACCUUGCGAAAGUAAGACUAAUACCCAAUGACGUCUCUAGAAGACAUCUGAAAGAGAUUAAAGAUUUAUCGGUGAUGGAUGGGGAUGCGUCUGAUUAGCUUGUUGGCGGGGUAACGGCCCACCAAGGCGACGAUCAGUAGGGGUUCUGAGAGGAAGGUCCCCCACAUUGGAACUGAGACACGGUCCAAACUCCUACGGGAGGCAGCAGUGAGGAAUAUUGGUCAAUGGACGAGAGUCUGAACCAGCCAAGUAGCGUGCAGGAUGACGGCCCUAUGGGUUGUAAACUGCUUUUAUAAGGGAAUAAAGUGAGUCUCGUGAGACUUUUUGCAUGUACCUUAUGAAUAAGGACCGGCUAAUUCCGU